GGGUGUCUGAAGGGUGAAAUCCGUAAGAUUGCAGAUUCCUAAUCUGUAGGCCACUGGUUCGAAUCCAGUCGGGAUCACCA
rnacentral:tRNA from 1 species